UACGGAGGGGGCUAGCGUUGUUCGGAAUUACUGGGCGUAAAGCGCACGUAGGCGGCUUUGUAAGUUAGAGGUGAAAGCCCGGAGCUCAACUCCGGAAUUGCCUUUAAGACUGCAUCGCUCGAAUCAUGGAGAGGUGAGUGGAAUUCCGAGUGUAGAGGUGAAAUUCGUAGAUAUUCGGAAGAACACCAGUGGCGAAGGCGACUCACUGGACAUGUAUUGACGCUGAGGCGCGACAGCGUGGGGAGCAAACGAGG
rnacentral:rRNA from 1 species